rnacentral:rRNA from 1 species
AGCGAGAGAGAGCUUGCUUUCUCGAGCGAGUGGCGGACGGGUGAGUAACGCGUGGGUAACCUGCCCUGUACAGGGGGACAACAGUUGGAAACGACUGCUAAUACCGCAUAAGCGCACGGUUCCGCAUGGAACAGUGUGAAAAACUCCGGUGGUGUGAGAUGGACCCGCGUCUGAUUAGCUAGUUGGCAGGGCAACGGCCUACCAAGGCGACGAUCGGUAGCCGGACUGAGAGGUUGAACGGCCACAUUGGGACUGAGACACGGCCCAGACUCC